UGCAUGUAACCCUCGAUCAUAAAUAAUGAAUCUGAUCUACUGAUAUCAUUUUCCUAUUUUCCAGGUUGCGUCCCUCAACAGCACCAUAUCGCCAGAUGAAUGUGAACCAAUACUGGAAAUUAUUGAUGGAAUACAGAAUUCAGAAGACAUUUACGAAGUGAAAUAUACAAAAAUGAAAGAUAGAGAGUGCAAAUUUAAGAAAAUGGAGUUUAUUUCAGAUAGAACCAAUAUGAAAGUUCCUGCUGACUUUAUGAAAUUGGAUUACGGCCAACAAACACUUUUCUUUUGGAUAAAAAGUUUAAAUGUCAACGAAUCCUAUACACUCAAUAUCACUUAUGGUACAUCUGGGGAUGAAUUCACAAACAGCACCUGCACAUUUAGUAUUUUUUCAAGAUUCAUAAAACAUGAUGUUACAAACCAAUUUGAGUGUGACCCACUUUUGGAAAUAAAGAAACUUUCUCAGAUUUCAGAUGGAACCUUAAUAGCACAAUAUACUAAAAAGCUGGAUACUGAAUUGAAAAUAGUAGGAAU